rnacentral:rRNA from 1 species
UACGAAGGGUGCAAGCGUUACUCGGAAUUACUGGGCGUAAAGCGUGCGUAGGCGGUUUGUUAAGUCCGCUGUGAAAGCCCUGGGCUCAACCUGGGAAUUGCAGUGGAUACUGGCAAGCUAGAGUGCGGUAGAGGAUGGUGGAAUUCCCGGUGUAGCGGUGAAAUGCGUAGAGAUCGGGAGGAACACCCGUGGCGAAGGCGGCCAUCUGGACCACAACUGACGCUGAGGCGCGAAAGCUAGGGGAGCAAACAGG